CCUUAAUAGGUGGUAUCAAGGUUAUUCUGACAGUAUAAAAAUAAUUGGGGAAGUAACAUAUUUAUUUCCCAAAAGAGUUUUAGGUUGAAAAUAUUUCUUCUGGAAUGGUUAAGAACUCACUGAUGAAUAUAUAUGAUUUGGAAUUUUCUUUGGUUUUAAUGAUGGUUUCAGUUCCUUUAAUCAUUAGCAGAUGCUGUCUGUGCCUCACACCUACCCCUCAGACCUUUCCAUGUGCUCUGGCUGACUCAACUGCCAACAUCUGUACUCUGUACCUGGUGGCCCUUUUUGUCAGAACCACUGCAAGCUGUGUUACCAAUCUGUGUGGCUGCCUACAAGUGCCAAGGAAUUCACAAUAUCAAUCCCCACACUGGAGUAACCAUCAACCAAAUAAUGAACCGCAAGUGGCAUAUAAAGCACAGAGAUCAAUACGUCAGACUUGAAAGGAAAAAUUUUAAGAUAUCUCCCCGCUCCACUCCUGAGGCCUCAUUUCUCUCUACUUCAUCUCCAGUUUUUCUCAAAAUGAUUGGAAAGGUGUAGAAGGUGACUGGAGGGCUCGGCCGAGUUCAAAGCUAGGCUAGAGUAAUGACUACAACUCUUAAAUGUGUCUAUUAGAAGGAAAUUAAAUUCACUAACAAAGAG
rnacentral:lncRNA from 10 species